AGUGAACGCUGGCGGCAGGCCUAACACAUGCAAGUCGAGCGGCAGCGGGUUCCCGCGAGGGGAUGCCGGCGAGCGGCGGACGGGUGAGGAACACAUCGGAAUCUGCCUGGUUGUGGGGGAUAACGUAGGGAAACUUACGCUAAUACCGCAUGCGACCCUGAGUCGACGGACUGGGGGUGAAAGUGAGGGACCUUCGGGCCGUCACGCGACCAGAUGAGCCGAUGUCGGAUUAGCUAGUUGGCGGGGUAACGGCCCGCCAAGGCGACGAUCCGUAGCUGGUCUGAGAGGAUGAUCAGCCACACUGGGACUGAGACACGGCCCAGACUCCUACGGGAGGCAGCAGUGGGGAAUCUUGGACAAUGGGCGCAAGCCUGAUCCAGCCAUGCCGCGUGGG
rnacentral:rRNA from 1 species